AGAGAGCAUCAAAUUUCA
rnacentral:piRNA from 1 species